rnacentral:rRNA from 1 species
CAUGUAGGCGGUUUGCUAAGUCGGACGUGAAAGCUCCUGGCUCAACUAGGAGAGGUCGUUCGAAACUAGUAGACUAGAGGGUGGUAGAGGAGAGCGGAAUUCCAGGUGUAGCGGUGAAAUGCGUAGAUAUCUGGAGGAACACCAGUGGCGAAAGCGGCUCUCUGGCCCACUCCUGACGCUGAGAUGCGAAAGCCAGGGGAGAGAACG